rnacentral:snRNA from 1 species
GUGCUUGCUUUGGCAGCAUAUAUACUAAAAUUGGAACAAUACAGAGAAGAUUAGUAUG